rnacentral:ncRNA from 1 species
UCUUAUUAUGAGAAGCUGAGGGAUUUGGCCCAGUGACGCUUCAGCAACCGACAGUAAUGCACGGUGCUAAAACCAACGAGAUACUCGAAUGAUAAG